rnacentral:rRNA from 1 species
UACAGAGGUCCCGAGCGUUGUUCGGAUUCACUGGGCGUAAAGGGUGCGUAGGUGGCAUGGUAAGUUUGAUGUGAAAGCUCAGGGCUUAACCCUGAAAUGGCAUUGAAUACUACUGUGCUGGAGGUUUGGAGGUGGGACUGGAAUUCUUGGUGUAGCAGUGAAAUGCGUAGAUAUCAAGAGGAACACCAGUGGCGAAGGCGAGUCCCUGGACAACACCUGACACUGAGGCACGAAAGCUAGGGGAGCAAACAGG